GGAAAUUGUUUUUCUGGCUCAGCAACAACUCAGCUUUCUUUGCAAUUGCCUGAGGAACAUUUACCUCUGGUUCAGUCGAACAGAAGGAUUCCUCUUAAAAGCCCCCUUCUUCAGGAAAAGGUACUUUGUUUUUCAUGGCCACUGACGCACAAGUGGUGUAGAUCUGCGCCCGGGAACCAAACCCAGGCCCCCAAAGUGGAGCAUGCUGAACUCAACCACUAGGCCACUGGGGUUGGCCCAAAGAUUGGUUGGAUCUACGACAGUGUGUAUGCUCCAGGAGUUGUUAAGAAAUUGAGCUUUAUUGAGAUAUAAUUGAUAAACAAAAAACUACACAUAUUUAAUGUAUACAAUUCAAUGAGUUUGGAUGUGUGCAUAUACCCGUGGAACCAUCACCACAAUCAAGGAGAGCAUAGACGAGAUGAUGGCUUCGUGGAUUAAGUUCCUAGAGGUGAAAGGGGAAUCUGGUCAUAUUCUGGGUGUAUUUUGAAGACAAAGCCAACAGAAUUUGCUGAAGGUUAAGA
rnacentral:lncRNA from 1 species